UCCCCUGUUUACAAAAACAUAGUUUAAGGAAAUAAUCUUAAAUGAAUUCUGCCCAGUGAUUUUUUUUUAAAUGGCCGCAGUACCUUGACUGUGCUAAGGUAGCAUAAUCAAUUGGCUUCUAAUUAAAGUCUGGAAUGAAAGGAAAUAUGAAGUAAUUCUAUCUUAAAGGAUUUUUUUUGAAUUUAUUUAAAUGAUGAAAAUAUCAUUUUAUAGAAAAAAGACGAGAAGACCCUUAGAGUUUUGAUAUUUAUAUAUUUUUGUUGGGGCGACAGGUAAACAUAUAACUUUACGAAUUAUCAUUGAUCGAUUUUUUAUAAGAAUAAUAAAACUACCUUAGGGAUAACAGCAUUAUAUUUUUUUUUAUGAUUGUGACCUCGAUGUUGGACUAGGAACUUUAUGGCUAGCCGUCAAAAAAGAUUUGUUCUUUCGAUCAUU
rnacentral:rRNA from 1 species